GCAGGGGCGGGCGCGGCGCCGGCGGCGUUUCCCGGGCUUACACCCGGUGGCUGCGUGGGAGUCGCUGGGGCGACCCCGGGCGGUGCCCGCCGGCCCCUUGGGGAGCAGCGGGCGCUGGAGGCUCUGCCCCGUGGCCCUGUCACCUCCGGCCCUCGCGCGUUCUCCUGCGCUCCCCGGGACGCGCCGCAGCCCGGCCGGGGCAGGCCUCGGCGGCGCCCCAACCUAGGGACGGAUGUGGCCACCCGGGAGCGGUGCAGCGCCUGCCUGGCCAGCCAGGGCGGCCGGCGGGGGAAGGCAGCGCGGCCAGCCGCGGGUGGCUGAAACUGCGGGCGGUUAGAGCGGCCCGUCAGUCACGCCCGGGCCGGGCGAGCGGGCCCCGGGCAUUCUUCUGCCUGUGCCCCUGGGAGAAGCCCUCCGGCCGGCGCGGUGCCCUCUGCACCCUUAACUGCGUGGCUGAGGGGUUUCCCGCCGCUGAGCAACCUGGUUAUAGUGAUGCAAGUAGUAUUUAAGUGAGGUGAAACUUGGGGGUACGCAAGAGAAUCAGACUCCUGAAAGGGGUACAGUCGUCUGGAAAGGUUGAGAACCACUGGCCUGUUGAACUAUAACCGAUUGAAUUGAUUCUGGAAGGACUUUUGCAAAUCAGCAGCUCACCAUUUCUACUAUGAAACUGACGUAAGAACUUUAUUCAUAUGUGUAAGUAUAAUGAUCUUUUAACCAUAGUAACUCUUUUCUUUUUUAAUGUAUCUUAGUUUAGUUCAUAAGAAUUGGCUGUAAGCGUGUAUUUGGGUAAGAUCUGAAAUAUACAUUGAUCUCGUGGUGGGUAAUGUGCCCAAUCUUUUGGGAUUGGUAGAACUUUAUAUUAGUGAAUAAGAUUUUAUGUAAUCCUCACCAUAUUAGACUUCGUUGCCUGGUUGGGAGCCAAAGGAUGGAUUGCUUAAGGGGAACCGUAUUUUAGCUUCUUGGUAACCAGUAAGGUAUUGCAGAAGCUGUUAUGUUACUGACUUGGUGGCUCUAAUUAUUGGGAUAAACCACCAAUUUUGGGAA